CAAGUUUUUAAACACCUGGAGCUUGCUUGGUGCUUCGUGAGACUACAUGACUUCAAAACUAGUUAAAUUAAAAACUGUAAAGUUAAAGUAGCUACAAACAUUAAUAUUGGAAGACAGGUUGUCAAGACAAGCUUCGGCAAGGCCACAUACAAGCGGUUUGCUCCAGUUGUGGCGCCACCUACAGGAUCUAAUAAUUGCAUAUUGGCAAAGUGAAAUGAGAUGUCGCUCUUAUUAAAUG